CAAUAAGGAAGGCUUUCCAGUC
rnacentral:misc_RNA from 1 species